UAGGGAAUCUUCCACAAUGACGCAAGUCUGAUGGAGCAACGCCGCGUGAGUGAAGAAGGUUUUCGGACCGUAAAGCUCUGUUGUUGGUGAAGAAGGAUAGAGGUAGUAACUGGCCUUUAUUUGACGGUAAUCAACCAGAAAGUCACGGCUAACUACGUGCCAGCAGCCGCGGUAAUACGUAGGUGGCAAGCGUUGUCCGGAUUUAUUGGGCGUAAAGCGAGCGCAGGCGGAAGAAUAAGUCUGAUGUGAAAGCCCUCGGCUUAACCGAGGAAUUGCAUCGGAAACUGUUUUCUUGAGUGCAGAAGAGGAGAGUAGAACUCCAUGUGUAGCGGUGGAAUGCGUAGAUAUAUGGAAGAAUACCAGCGGCGAAGGCGGCUCUCUGGUCUGCAACUGACGCUGAGGCUCGAAAGCAUGGGUAGCGAACAGGAUUAGAUACCCUUGGUAGUCCAUGCCGUAAACGAUGAGUGCUAAGUGUUGGGAGGCUUCCGCCUCUCAGUGCUGCAGCUAACGCAUUAAGCACUCCGCCUGGGGGAGUACGACCGCAAGGUUGAAAC
rnacentral:rRNA from 1 species